rnacentral:misc_RNA from 1 species
GUUGAAUUGGAGGCCUCCUGGCCGUGGGCUACAUGAUUUCCAACCCCAACACUACUUUUAAACCCAUCAAUAUUCAAUGGAUUAGGAUUUGGGAGACUUGAACUGAGAAAGGACAUCCUCAUUACUAAGUAUUUCUUCUUGGUGGAAAAUGAUUAUAAGAUCUCAAAUUCACUUGUGCAAACGUGCCAGGUAAUCUGUCAAAUUUGUCCCCAUUGCAGAAAAAUUAGGUAACACAUGCAAAUGCAAGUAUUAUUAUUAAACGUUUACUUGCUAGUUGCUACCCUUUGUUUUGGUCUCCCAAAUCUUCAAGUCAAGGAUUUUAGCUCUAGCCUCCGUUCACAUCAUGGAACACAUUAGUCAAUAUGAAACAAGAACCGAUCUUGAUGGAUUUUAUGUCAGUGUUAGAUCAAAUGUAAUUUGUCUUCAACUUUCCAAAAUUUACUGAGACGCAUACAAAUAGAAAGCAGAAACUUCCUAUGGAUAUUAUAUUGAAUGGAAGACAACAAGGGAGAAAUUUCUUAGAAACUCAUUUGAAAAAGACGCAAUGGGUCCCUAAACCCAAUAUCUACUGCUGUGCCUCACCAACAAAAAAAUGCCAAAACUCGUGAUAUUGAUCUGUCAUACAGUAUACCUCAUAUAGCACUCCUCGAUGGGAUGGGUAUUAUAUUGUACAGAGAGAUUCUUGUAUAUGAUAUAUUUGUCACAGAUCUGGAUUUAGUACUGUGCUCAAAAACUAAUCAAUGAUAUCAUUUCACUACAGCUUAAAAAAAAAAAAAUCAUAUAACUUGCGGGUAUGGUACCCGCACUAUACAUGUAACACACAUGGACACAUCGCUAUCGCCUUUUCCUAUUUUGAAAGGAAGAUUCUGCAACAUAAUUUGCCAUCCUAGAAAGGUUAAGCACAAAACAUACAAGUUCAAAUUAUUGGAUAUACCACACUAAAUAUGUGGGUGGGCGUGGGUCAUCUAUCCCAUUCCCUCCCUUACUAUUGAGCGUUGAUGGACAUUGACCUCCAUGUGAGUCCCAUGUAGCUCACCUGUAAGUUUCAUAUUAAUCUAAAUUCAAUAAUCACACAUUCCAAGAAUUUAAGCAUUUUCAAACCCUAAAUCUACCUACCCACCUGCCCUAAAUUUUAAUAAGGGACAAUAAAUUUUAGGGCUGCAACCUAAAUUUUAAGGCUUGUUUCUACGAAGAGGUUAUUAAAGAAAAUCUUUUUAUGCAGAUUUCUAAUUUACCAAAAAAUUUUAUUAAAAAAAUUGUUGUUAAAAUUUUUUUUUUUUAAAAAAGCAUAAUCCAUUAAUUUAAGAUCUCAAACUUAAGAAAAAAUAAAAUAAAAACACAUGGUCAAAAGUAAUAAAUAUUUGAAAGCUUAUUCAGGGUGAGGGUCAGAUAGUCUAACUAAGAGACAGAUGGAUAUUGCUCUUUUUCCCAGGCAUCAUAAAUGUCUACUGCCCACAAACAAAUACAUAAAUAAGAUCAUCUAUUGGAAAUUGGUGGGGUCCAUUACACGGCUUUCAUGGCCUGCCAUAUUUUCCAAAGAUUUAG